rnacentral:lncRNA from 1 species
AGAAUCAAAGAACAGGAUUCAUGGAGAUACAGAAUCACAGGAAGCACGCACGGCUCAUGCACAUAUAUUUUUCAUGUUUUGUAUACAAAAACUAGAGGGCAUUUUAUGCUGCUUGCAAGCCAUUUUGUACAAGGAUUCCGUGUCUUUGCUUGUCCCGCUGUAUUGUCGACGCUUCUCCCGUAUAUAGUGUUUUUGGGAGUAAUAGAAACACACACACACACCAAUC